rnacentral:rRNA from 1 species
UACGGAGGGUGCAAGCGUUGUUCGGAAUCAUUGGGCGUAAAGCGCGUGUAGGCGGCUUGGCAAGUCAGGUGUGAAAGCCCGGGGCCCAACCCCGGAAUUGCAUCUGAAACUGCCUGGCUGGAGUCUCGGAGAGGAAGGCAGAAUUCCCGGUGUAGGGGUGAAAUCCGUAGAUAUCGGGAGGAAUACCAGCGGCGAAGGCGGCCUUCUGGACGGUGACUGACGCUGAGACGCGAAAGCGUGGGGAGCAAACAGG